rnacentral:misc_RNA from 1 species
GAUGAAGAACGUAGCGAAAUGCGAUACGUAAUGUGAAUUGCAGAAUUCAGUGAAUCAUCGAAUCUUUGAACGCUUAUUGCGCUCUCUGGUAUUCCGGAGAGCAUGCUUGUUUGAGUAUCAGUAAACACCUCAACUUCCAUAUCUUUUUUGAAAUGGGAGUUGGACUUGAGUGAUCCCAACGCUUUUCCUCACCGAAAAGUGGCGGGUUACUUGAAAUGCAGGUGCAGCUGGACUUUUCUCUGAGCUAUAAGCAUAUCUAUUUAGUCUGCCUAAAAAACAGAUUAUUACCUUUGCUGCAGCUAACAUAAAGGAGAUUAGUUCUUGUGCUGACUGAUGCAGGAUUCACAAAGACAGGCUUCGGCCGACUUUGUAAACUCGAUCUCAAAUCAAGUAAGACUACCCGCUGAACUUAAGCAUAUCAAUAAGCGGAGGA